AUCUUUAGUCUUCCUUAACGGUUCAGAUGGCUAUUUUCUCAGAAGUUGCAUAAUCAAAGUCAUAAAGUCAUUUGUACAUUUAUAUAAUUUUUUUUUUUUUUUUUUUUAUCUUCAGGGCCUCGCGGAGCUGGAGCAUUGCGUGUUUAAAAGCAACUGCCACGGAAAGACGGACUUCAGAUCAGCCCUGACCUUUUGUUCAACAGCUCCUCCUGUUACAGAACACAUUCAAAUAGCUAUUUAGGCAUCGGUGGGGAGAAAAACCCAUUGAUUCUCCUAGUUGGGGGGUUGGCCGUUGCCUGCGGAAAGGAUUGGCGCCGAGUGGGGCUUCGGACCUCGCAGUCUAAUGGGGGAUGCGGGGCCAGCGUGCCUGCGGGACUCACAGCCUGCUGCCUGGUCCUUUCGGUUUCCUCAGCCCCAGCUGAGGGGCUCGCUUGGAACAAAGUGCCCGCAGGUGUAUGCAUAUGCCUGGCCCCUAGAAGAGGACAAUUUCAAGAGCUCAUCAGACCUGAUUCAGGGCUACGUUUUAAAGGUUACUGCCUUUCUGCAUUUUCCAAAUUUUCUUUAAUGAGAAUGUGUCCCAAUGAGAAAAACCUUUGCUUUGCGAAAUCUACUGAUGGCGGCCGGAAGAACCGCGUAGACGCCUGUGCCAACGAGAUCUGGCGGAGCUGAUCCCCAUCAUCAAAGUCGAAGGAGUUCGGAGGAGGGCAAGAGCGGAGGACACGCUUACCUGUAUUUUUGCCCAAUCUCUCACAUUUCUUCGUGACUCUGGUGGAAGCCAAGGCAAGGCACAGGGCCUGCUGACCCUUCUGUGGCAAAAUGGUUCUCGCGCUUUGAAUCGCCUACAGUGCUUGCCAGAGAUGGAGAGUUCCAGGCCCGGAAAGUGUGAUUCAGCGGACCAGGAGAGGGACAGAGCCGUUGCGCUGUUGGUGGUGAUCACAAGAGGACCUUCCACAGUGUCUGGGUGCCACGCCCGAGAAGCAUGGCUCAUGGCUCUGCUUGUUGGCAAUGGGGGAAGCCGAGGGAUGCCACGGCAGUAUUUCCCUGUUCGCUGUCAGCGCCCCAAACAGAGCUAUCCAGAUCUGUCCGGAACGGUCCCCAUCUUCUAAGUCUUUUCGAAGCAACAAGUCAUAGAUGAGCCUUUUCCUCCUCACACCACCUUCAAAGCGACAUUGACCCGUUCAGGACCUCCUUUCCCGGGAGAUAAUGAUCACUGUGGAAAGAAAGCAAUAACUUGCAUCGUCCAAGAUGUUGACAAUGACCAUGGAUACCUUAAUGCCGUAAGUUUCCAAAAAAAAAAUUUAACACUAGUUUGUAUUCAAAGAUCAAAAUGAUUUUUAACACUCUGAACGUAAAGUCCCUUUCCAAUAAAUGCUUUGGCAUGGAAUCUCUUAAACU